rnacentral:rRNA from 1 species
AACGAACGCUGGCGGCAUGCCUAACACAUGCAAGUCGAACGAGACCUUCGGGUCUAGUGGCGCACGGGUGCGUAACGCGUGGGAACCUGCCCUUAGGUUCGGAAUAACUCCCCGAAAGGGGUGCUAAUACCGGAUAAUUUCUUCGGACCAAAGAUUUAUCGCCUUUGGAUGGGCCCGCGUUGGAUUAGCUAGUUGGUAGGGUAAAAGCCUACCAAGGCGACGAUCCAUAGCUGGUCUGAGAGGAUGAUCAGCCACACUGGGACUGAGACACGGCCCAGACUACUACGGGAGGCAGCAGUGGGGAAUAUUGGACAACGGGGGAAAGCAUGAUCCAGCAAUGCCGCGUGAGUGAUGAAGGCCUUAGAGUUGUAAAGCUCUUUUACCCGGGAUGAUAAUGACAGUACCGGGAGAAUAAGCACCGGCUAACUCCGUG